CACAAUGGUGGGCCGGACGGGGGCGUCGCAAGACGCACCGGUUUCUGUAUGGCCGGUAAGGCUAACCCCGUCUGGUUCUGCCACCCGC
rnacentral:antisense_RNA from 1 species